UAGGAAGUGGUGUAAUGGGAGCACUGAAAGUUUUGAUCUUUCUAGUGGAGGUUCAAGUCCUUCUUUCCUAG
rnacentral:tRNA from 1 species